CGGGUGAGUAAUGUCUGGGAAACUGCCUGAUGGAGGGGGAUAACUACUGGAAACGGUAGCUAAUACCGCAUAACGUCGCAAGACCAAAGAGGGGGACCUUCGGGCCUCUUGCCAUCGGAUGUGCCCAGAUGGGAUUAGCUAGUAGGUGGGGUAGCGGCUCACCUAGGCGACGAUCCCUAGCUGGUCUGAGAGGAUGGCCAGCCACACUGGAACUGAGACACGGUCCAG
rnacentral:rRNA from 1 species